rnacentral:tRNA from 1 species
GGGCCUGUAGCUUAGUUGGUAGAGCGCCACAUUUGCAAUGUGGAGGUCGCGGGUUCGAAUCCCGCCGGGUCCA